CGGUGGUCACGUUGCUAGGGUAUUAUCCGCGUUGCUAGGCCAGAGUGCUCCGCCCCCAAGCCGGCCCGCGCGAGCCGUGGCGGUGUGAAAAAACGACACAAAUUUCAUCCAACAUAACGCACGAUAUGAUUAUCACAUCAGGAAAAAAAUAUAUGCACACGAAAAUUACAUUAGUUCGCCUUAAAAAUAUCUCAAUUAUUUGGGAUGACCAUGUGCAAAACGCUUCAAAUCGCCCGCUGUUCCAUGUGCGUUUUGGAGGUCGUUUUGGGUCACUGAACUUUGAACUUUGAAUUUAAUGCUCUAUUUUACGCACCAGGCAAAGCUUUGACCUAUGCUUUAGACUUUAGGACCUCUAAGAAUAUUUCACCUUAUGCAGUUUUAAGUGUCUACGACAUUUUAGCUAAUUUUGUCACAUUUUCACUACGUUUUGUCCCAUAGUUCCACAGCGAUGGAAGAGAAUCGAUUGAUUUUUCUCCAAGAUGGCGGCGAUAGUUUUUUCUUCACGAUGGAGUUUUUUUGGUCAGCUUAAGUGUUAACUACCGGGAGAUAUGGCUCAAAAUACGAAUUGUACGUUUGGUUCAGAUUUUCACGUGGAAGAAUAGCUAUGCUCUUGACUUAUAAUUAGGUUGUCGGCGAACAUCAGAGCGGUUUGUUCUUGCCUCCUUACUUUCUUACAACAACAACUUACCUGGGACGGCAGUGAUAUGGAAAUGAGCUGGCGUGGCCCCAUUGUUGUCGUCCCGGGCGCGAAAUUUGAGAGAGAAUUGGCUGUAGCAAAUUAUUUGUACAGUUUGUUGUGUCUGCAAGAAGCUACCAUUAAUUCUACAAGAUCUUUAGUGCACUUUCGCAGCUGCACUUUCUCCCAUAGUUAAGAUUAUUUCAGAAAUUUUGAACGUCAGGUCCCAAAUAGUAAAAUGGCGUCUUUUCGACUUUUGUAAACAAAAGAGAAAACCGGUUUCAUCCGGUUCCGCUGUCAGCCGAUAGCACAUCAAACGCUUGGGUGUGUAAUGUUACAAAGCUUAGUGAAUUGCGAACUGCAGAUUCUGUUACAAAAUUCACGGGAAUAUAAAAUUGUUUCUACAAAUAGCGGAGAACGAAGUUUUUUCUUCAUUUUUUUAGUUAUUUUUUAGGACAGGACUAGACACGCCGGUUCGUGAAUCUUGAUUUGAAGACGCACUUUGUCGUGAGGUCGGUGUGCAUAGCAUUCUCCGUGUGCGGUAAGCUUCCGUGCAAAUGUUCAAAAUAUGAAUUUCACUUCACCAAGAAACUAAACUGGUGUUGUGUCGUUCAAUUGUGUGUCUGUAUGUCUAUGUGUGCGUGUGGAGUGAGAGAGAGAGGGGGAGAAUAUUAGACUUCCGUAGGAAAGGCCGGCCGGUUGUGUUUAUAUUACGGGCGGGCGGUCUUUACGCCGCCCCCGCUGAAUCUUGCAGCUGCGCCCGGCAGUCACGGUCACGGUAAGUUGGGUGAAUUUUCAUGGUGUUGCGGUUGCUAUGCUUUCGUCUGUGUUACCAUGCGUUUUAUUACUACUUCAAAUCCAUUCUAUAGUAUAAGAUAUAAUUUAAACAAAGAAAAUUGCGGGGCAAAGGACGCCAGUUUGAAGUUUACCAUGUGAUGUAAUGCCCAGCGUAUUACCGAUAUCGAUACAUUCGCCACGUCAAGCGCUGGUAUGGACCUAGUUCAUUUACAGAAUGACGAGAAUAUAAGGAGUUUGUUAUUUGAGAGAACACGUUUAUCAAAAAAACGUAGGUUGCAAUUAUUGUCUUAUAUUUAAAUUGAGUCGUUGUGUAUACAGGACAGGAACAGACACGCCGGGAUCCGGACUUUGGUCAAAGACGCAAUAUAUCAAGGGGUUCGUUACGUUUGGGUCUAAGUAUACUAGUAUGGUGAGCUUUCAUGUUCUAGAUAUAUAGAUACUCAUCUUCGCCGAAAAACUACUGAAUUUCUAUCACUCAACUUUUUGUAUGUGUGUGUGUGUGUGUGUGU